CCUGCCCUGUUGCUCUUUCCUUUGCUUUUGCCAGGUGCUAGUUCAGUUGAGUGAUUGUCUCCCACACCGCUCGCACGUCGUGUUCGUCCGGUCUCAAAUAGUCUAGCUCAAAAUCUAAAAUCAGAUCACUCAUCGUAAAAUGUUACUUAUAAAUUGUGCUUCUCUUAUCGUAAUGGAAUUUUCAAGGUAUCGUGAGUGAAUCCUCGCUAAAAGUAAUCGUGGUGAGAAAGGCAUUUUCGUUGUAAAACAUUCUCGGCCUGAUCAGUUCGCCCGGGUGUUAAAAUCCAGAUUGCUGUGGUUUUCGUGGACGUCGGAAAUUUUUUUAAGGCUCCGGUCGCGUUCGUGAAGUUUCUAAGUGACUCUACGUUUGCUUAUGUACUCUCUUAGUGUAAAAAUUAGCAGCUAUCAAUUUAUAUAUUGUUCCGCGUGAGAUUUUCUCAAUUUCAUUUCGCUGAACAGUCAGACUGAUACCCGAAUAAAAUAACGCCUCCUCUACUUCGUGAAAUUGCAGCCCAAGAAUGUCAAGCUGAAGUCGAGCAAAUGGAUUUCCAGUUUCCCACUUCCCAACUUGUUUAUAAUGAGCUUACGAGUCUUCGAACGUCAAUAUUUUGUGGUCUCUCCAACGUUUGUGAAGGCGGUGCACUAAGAUGGAAGACUUUCACUCUAUUGCGUCAGAGCUGCUCAUGGAUUUACGGACCCUCACUUCAUCACGGUAAAAUCUCUCCAAGUAUAUCCUGCUCUCAGAAUCAAUUGCGAACGAAUCGAAUUUUUGUCUAUUGUCUCAAUUUUUAAAGUGGCCAGUUGCAGUAUCCGUCCUCACCACUAAUAGUAGCAGUCGUCAUUUGGGCAGUUUUUAGUAAAAUCAGUCUAACUGCAUUCCCCGUUGCCGAUAUAAUUGAAGCUCUCUGUUCGACAACGGCCCUACUCGGGUUGAUUACGAUGUUAAUUUUUUUGCGUAGGAACACUCCUUUCCUAGCCAUUACGCAGUUUUUAUCUUCUCCUAAACAAUUUCAUUUUUUCGAGAUGUGUCGUUUUCGAACUGAGAGAUUAGAUUCUUUCUGAUAUUUUGUCUGUUUAAAAUCAAAAACUAAGGAGCGUAAUGUCUUGAAAAUAUCUAAAAAUGAGAACUUCCCACAUUUUGCUGAGUAAGUGUAUACUUCACUGAAUUUAACGGCAGCAUUUAGUUUCUAUCAAAUAAAAGAAUCUUGCGAAAAGUAUAGGCUACAUUAUGCAGUUAGGCUAACAUAGUUUGAAAGGACGCCUUUCAAUGAAAAGGAACUAUCUUCUUCGUAACCUGAGAGCUCUGACACCCACAGCCACACGAAUGAAAGCACUUUUACCUACAAGGACGAAGGAUAUUGUUCCUUUGAUUUUGAAUACGUCCGUCUAUGAACGAGUCUGAUGAAAAUUAUUAAAACUUUACUUGAACCAAAGUCGACCGAUUCCCCACAAUGGUGGCAAAAGAAAAGAAAAUUCAAAUGUAUUUAGCAGCACACACCGAACAAAUUGCAUUGAUGAAAAACCGUGCAGUUUGCAUACCUUCCAAAUUGCAGGGUAUUUAGCAGCACACAUCGAACAAAUUGCAUUGAUGAAAAACCGUGCAGUUUGCAUACCUUCCAAAUUGCAGGGUAUUUUGUAACUUACAAAAAUCAAAAUUAAGGCCUCAAUCAUUAAGAGAACGCAAACUUAAAAAAGAGGGAUGAAAAGCAACUAACACAUACAUUUCAAAAACUGGUUAAAUUAAACUUUUUGAGUGAAGGGCUUAGAGGACAAAAGCGAAAUUUGUUGUAUCUGCUAUCUCAAGAAAUAUAUGUUAAAUUGUUCAAAAUUACAUGGAGCCAUAGGCGGGGAGAAAGUUCGAACUCACUUUUUUUGCUUAAACAUCUGAUUUUAGGAGUGAAAUCUUGUCAUCAUAUAUUCUAAGACUAGUUUUAGUUGAAAUCAUUAAUAUGUCAAUUUUUUCAAAAACUGCACAUAUCCCUUUUGUCUUCCAAGCCCCUUAAUUGAUGUUCUCGUUACAAAAAACACGUUUGACAGAAAAGGGCUCACUAGUUGAAUGCUUAGCAGUUUAGUUGAUAGACAUGAGAUAUUUUUCUCUGCCUCCAUAUUAAGCUUGACCUUUGAAUCUUACAUUUAAUGGCCGCCUAAAUGUCACGAAUUUUUGGCUCAUGCAUGGAUUGCCUGUUUUUUGUACAGCGCUGAGUGCCAAUCAUGUAUUUGGUUACAUUCACUGGUUACGUGAUAACCAUUGUCGAAAGUAUAUUACUGGCAACUGGAUUUCCCGGGGAUCAUAUUGACUAUGUACAUUAUAUAAUAAGGAAUUAUCACUUCUCUUGUUGACUUUAUCGGCCAUACUUUAAAUCUUGAAAUUUUGUAAAACUUUUUCUUACCGAUUUUUUUUUUUUUUUUUUUUUUUUUUUUUUUUUUUUUAAAAAAUCGGUAAGAAAAAGUUUUACAAAAUUUCAAGAUAAUAAGGAAUUACUAUUUCUGGCUCAUUUAUGAAAGCACCUUCUGAGUAGAGAAAAUUAAA
rnacentral:lncRNA from 1 species